rnacentral:rRNA from 1 species
UACGUAGGGUGCAAGCGUUAAUCGGAAUUACUGGGCGUAAAGCGUGCGCAGGCGGUCUUGCAAGACAGAUGUGAAAUCCCCGGGCUCAACCUGGGAACUGCAUUUGUGACUGCAAGGCUGGAGUACGGUAGAGGGGGAUGGAAUUCUGCGUGUAGCAGUGAAAUGCGUAGAUAUGCGGAGGAACACCGAUGGCGAAGGCAAUCCCCUGGACCUGUACUGACGCUCAUGCACGAAAGCGUGGGGAGCAAACAGG